rnacentral:tRNA from 1 species
GCGGGAGUAGCUCAGUGGUAGAGCAUCAGUUUCCCAAACUGAGGGCCGCGGGUUCGAUCCCCGUCUCCCGCUCAA